GUAUUCGCUUCGGCAGCACAUAUACUAAAAUUGGAACGAUACAGAGAUUAGCAUGGUCACUGCGCAAGGAUGACACACGAAUUCGUGAAGUGUUCCAUAUUUAA